UAAUCGCAGGUCGCUAUAUCCA
rnacentral:siRNA from 1 species